UGAGGAAUAUUGGUCAAUGGGCGAGAGCCUGAACCAGCCAAAUCGCGUGAAGGAGGACUGCCUUAUGGGUUGUAAACUUCUUUUAUACAGGAAUAAAAAAGGGGACGUGUCCCUUAUUGCAUGUACUGUAUGAAUAAGCAUCGGCUAACUCCGUGCCAGCAGCCGCGGUAAUACGGAGGAUGCGAGCGUUAUCCGGAUUUAUUGGGUUUAAAGGGUGCGCAGGCGGGCUUUUAAGUCAGCGGUGAAAUCUCGGGGCUUAACUCCGAAACUGCCGUUGAAACUGGGAGUCUUGAGUAUGGAUGAAGUAGGCGGAAUUCGUUGUGUAGCGGUGACAUGCUUAGAUAUAACGAGGAACUCCGAUUGCGUAGGCAGCUUACUAAGCCAUAACUGACGCUCAAGCACGAAAGCGUGGGGAUCAAACAGAUUAGAUACCCUGGUAGUCCACGCCCGUAAAACGAUGAUUACUAGUUGUAUGCGAUAUACCGUAUGUGACUAAGCGAAAGCGAUAAGUAAUCCACCUGGGGAGUACGCCGGCAACGGUGAAACUUAAAUGAUUGACGGGGUCAUAGCUGUUUCCUG
rnacentral:rRNA from 1 species